UGAGGAAUAUUGGACAAUGGGCGCAAGCCUGAUCCAGCCAUGCCGCGUGCAGGAAGAAGCAUCUAUGGUGUGUAAACUGCUUUUGUACGGGAAGAAACACUCCUUCGUGAAGGAGCUUGACGGUACCGUAAGAAUUAGGAUCGGCUAACUCCGUGCCAGCAGCCGCGGUAAUACGGAGGAUCCAAGCGCUAUCCGGAAUCAUUUGGUUUAAAGGGUCCGUAGGCGGUUUAGUAAGUCAGUGGUGAAAGCCCAUCGCUCAACGAUGGAACGGCCAUUGAUACUGCUAGACUUGAAUUAUUAGGAAGUAACUAGAAUAUGUAGUGUAGCGGUGAAAUGCUUAGAUAUUACAUGGAAGACCAAUUGCGAAGGCAGGAUACUACUGAUGGAUUGACGCUGAUGGACGAAAGCGUGGGGAGCGAACA
rnacentral:rRNA from 1 species